UACAUCAGUGGCAGACGGGUGAGUAACACGUGGGAACCUUCCUAGAGGUACGGAACAACGCAGGGAAACUUGCGCUAAUACCGUAUAAGCUCUUGCGAGGAAAGAUUUAUCGCCUUUAGACGGGCCCGCGUAGGAUUAGGUAGUUGGUGGGGUAACGGCCUACCAAGCCUACGAUCCUUAGCUGAUCUGAGAGGAUGAUCAGCCACACUGGAACUGAGACACGGUCCAG
rnacentral:rRNA from 1 species